rnacentral:tRNA from 1 species
AGGCGCGUAGCACAAUUGGCAGUGCACCGGACUCCAAAUCCGGAGGUUGGGGGUUCGAUUCCCUCCGCGCCUGCCA